UACGUAGGAGGCGAGCGUUAUUCGGAUUUACUGGGCGUACAGCGUGCGUAGGUGGUCCUUCAAGUCGGAUGUGAAAUCUCCCGGCUUAACUGGGAGGGGUCAUUCGAUACUGUUGGGCUGGAGGGCAGCAGAGGAAGGUGGAACUCCCGGUGUAGUGGUGAAAUGCGUAGAUAUCGGGAAGAACACCAGUGGCGAAGGCGGCCUUCUGGGCUGUUCCUGACACUGAGGCACGAAAGCGUGGGGAG
rnacentral:rRNA from 1 species